rnacentral:rRNA from 1 species
UACGUAGGGGGCAAGCGUUGUCCGGAAUCAUUGGGCGUAAAGAGCUCGUAGGCGGUUUGUCGCGUCGGCCGUGAAAACUUGGGGCUUAACCCCAAGCCUGCGGUCGAUACGGGCAGACUUGAGUUCGGCAGGGGAGACUGGAAGUUCCUGGUGUAGCGGUGAAAUGACGCAGAUAUCAGGAGGAACACCGAUGGCGAAGGCAGGUCUCUGGGCCACUACUGACGCUGAGAAGCGAAAGCAUGGGGAGCGAACAGG